rnacentral:rRNA from 1 species
GGGUUGCAAAAGAAGUAGGUAGCUUAACCUUCGGGAGGGCGCUUACCACUUUGUGAUUCAUGACUGGGGUGAAGUCGUAACAAGGUAACCGUAGGGGAACCUGCGGUUGGAUCACCUCCUU